GGGGACCUUCGGGGCCCUACACAUCGGCCGAAAGGCCCACACAUAGCGGGGCGCAAAGCCCUCGCACAGCUAAACGGAAGACAGAAA
rfam:Actibacterium mucosum KCTC 23349 contig6, whole genome shotgun sequence.